rnacentral:rRNA from 1 species
UAACACGUAGGUGGCAAGCGUUAUCCGGAAUUACUGGGCGUAAAGGGUCCGCAGGUGGGAAGGUAAGUCUGAUGUGACAGCGCCCGGCUCAACUGGGCGUGGCCAUUGGAAACUGCCAUUCUUGAGUCACGCAGAGGGGUGCGGAAUUCCGGGUGUAGUGGUGGAAUGCGUAGAGAUCCGGAGGAACACCAAAGGCGCAAGCAGCACCCUGGGCGAGGACUGACACUGAGGGACGAAAGCAUGGGGAGCAAACAGGAUUAGAUACCCUGGUAGUCCAUGCUGUAAACGAUGUAUGCUAGGUGUUUGGGGACUAGACCCCCUGAGCGCCGCAGCCAACGCGGAAGCAUACCGCCUGGGAAGUACGGUCGCAAGGCUA